GUCGGGAAUAUUGGUCAAUGGGCGCAAGCCUGAACCAGCAACGCCGCGUGCACGAUGAAGGCCUUCGGGUCGUAAAGUGCUUUUCGGGAGGAUGAGGAAGGACAGUACUCCCGGAAUAAGUCACGGCUAACUACGUGCCAGCAGCCGCGGUAAAACGUAGGUGACAAGCGUUAUCCGGAUUUACUGGGCGUAAAGCGCGUGCAGGCGGCUUGGCAAGUCGGGCAUGAAAUCUUUCGGCUUAACCGGGAGAGGCUGUCCGAUACUGCUAGGCUUGAGGGCAGUAGAGGGUGGUGGAAUUCCGCAUGUAGUGGUGAAAUGCGUAGAUAUGCGGAGGAACACCAGUGGCGAAGGCGGCCACCUGGACUGCUCCUGACGCUGAAGCGCGAAAGCUAGGGUAGCGAACGGGAUUAGAAACCCCUGUAGUCC
rnacentral:rRNA from 1 species